GCUAAUACCGCAUGAGACUACAGAGCUGCAUGGCUCAGUGGUCAAAGGAGCAAUCCGCUGAAAGAUGGACUCGCGUCCGAUUAGAUAGUAGGCGGGUAACGGCCCACCUAGUCGACGAUCGGUAGCCGGACUGAGAGGUUGAACGGCCACAUUGGGACUGAGACACGGCCCAAACUCCUACGGGAGGCAGCAUG
rnacentral:rRNA from 1 species